AUUGAACGCUGGCGGCAUGCUUUACACAUGCAAGUCGAACGGUAACAGGCCUUCGGGUGCUGCCGAGUGGCGCACGGGUGCGUAAUGCAUCGGAACGUACCCAGAGGUGGGGGAUAACGCAGCGAAAGCUGUGCUAAUACCCCAUGUGAUCUGAGGAUGAAAGCGGGGGACCGAGCAGCAAUGUUUGGCCUCGCGCCUUUGGAUCGGCCGAUGUCGGAUUAGCUAGUUGGUGGGGUAAAGGCCUACCAAGGCGACGAUCCGUAGCUGGUCUGAGAGGACGACCAGCCACACUGGGACUGAGAAACGGCCCAGAUUCCUACGGGAGGCAGCAAUGGGGAAUUUGGACAAUGGGCGCAAGCCUGAUCCAGCCAUGCCGCGUGCGGGAAGAAGGCCUUCGGGUUGUAAACCGCUUUUGGCAGGAACGAAACGGUGUCCGCUAAUACCGCGCGCUAAUGACGGUACCUGCAGAAUAAGCACCGGCUAACUACGUG
rnacentral:rRNA from 1 species